GCAUUGGUGGUUCAAUGGUAGAAUUCCUGCUUGCUAUGUAGGAGACCUGGGUUCAAUUCCCAGCCAAUGCA
rfam:Alligator mississippiensis ScZkoYb_115, whole genome shotgun sequence.